AGUGAACGCUGGCGGUAGGCCUAACACAUGCGAGUCGAACGGCAGCACAGUAAGAGCUUGCUCUUACGGGUGGCGAGUGGCGGACGGGUGAGGAAUACAUCGGAAUCUUCUUUUUCGUGGGGGAUAACGUAGGGAAACUUACGCUAAUACCGCAUACGACCUACGGGUGAAAGCAGGGGAUCUUCGGACCUUGCGCGAUUGAAUGAGCCGAUGUCGGAUUAGCUAGUUGGCGGGGUAAAGGCCCACCAAGGCGACGAUCCGUAGCUGGUCUGAGAGGAUGAUCAGCCACACUGGAACUGAGACACGGUCCAGACUCCUACGGGAGGCAGCAGUGGGGAAUAUUGGACAAUGGGCGCAAGCCUGAUCCAGCCAUACCGCGUGGGUGAAGAAGGCCUUCGGGUUGUAAAGCCCUUUUGUUGGGAAAGAAAAGCAGCAGGUUAAUACCCCGCUGUUCUGACGGUACCCAAAGAAUAAGCACCGGCUAACUUCGUG
rnacentral:rRNA from 1 species